GAGAGGGCUGCGUUAUUGAGACCACUUGGACUGGCUGCUCGUCUGAAGCUAGUUAAGGCCUCUAUAUAAACUCUAAAUGUUUGGUGGGUGGGUGCAGAGUUCUCCUCGUCUUGCUGUGAGUCGGGACGCGCCUGGUGGCUUUCCCCUUCAAUUUUAGACACUUCCAGAAAUCCAGCGUAAUCUACAUCAUGUGACUGCUCCAGAUAGCUACCAGAAGUGCUCCUAGUAGAUGUCCAACAAAUAAUUGAACGUACUAUGCUGUACAUUGCCCGAUAGCCCGUGGAGAGCAAAGUCACUGCUUAUGGGGAACCGUUGAUAAAUAUU